UACGUAGGGACCAAGCGUUGUUCGGAUUUACUGGGCGUAAAGGGCGCGUAGGCGGCAUGACAAGUCACUUGUGAAAUCUCUGGGCUUAACUCAGAACGGCCAAGUGAUACUGUCGCGCUAGAGUGCAGAAAGGGCAAUCGGAAUUCUUGGUGUAGCGGUGAAAUGCGUAGAUAUCAAGAGGAACACCUGAGGCGAAGGCGGGUUGCUAGGCUGACACUGACGCUGAGUGCGCGAAAGCCAGGGGAGCAAACGGG
rnacentral:rRNA from 1 species